GGCCUGGUUAGGUGGUCUGCCUCAGGUAUGUAUUGCCAUGGCCGGGUCUUUCCUUCUGGAGAAGCGGUUUGCCCUUCACUGGGUGGGUCGUGAAUCCAGGACUUUUACCUUGAAAAAAUUAGAGCGCUUAAAGCAGGUGUCUGCCUGAAUAGAUUAGCAUGGUAUAAUAAAAUAGGACGCGUGGUUCUAUUUUGUUGGUUUCUAGGAUCACCGUA
rnacentral:rRNA from 1 species